GUAUAUGUGUAUGUGUGCCUAUCUCCUCUGUCUUCUGUUGUGCUCUGCUUUCAGAGUUCCUUCUUUAGGAUUGUAGUGACGCUUUGCACAGAAGAUUUGAGAGUUGUAACUUUCAGUAGGAAAAGAAAUGCUAAGCUUUGUCAGAUGUUUGAACCAGUGUUUGAGGUCAGCCAGAUUAGAGGAAAAUGCUCGUUGAGAGUUCUGCCCUGUUAAUGAAUUGUAGCACUUUUGCACUCGUUAGAUAUCAGCCCAAUAUAGGCUGGCACUCCUGUGGCUAUCUAGGGAGCAUAUGGCUAAUGUGAUCCAGCACCACAUGACAACCAAGAUCAGGACACUGGAACUCUCAGAUCACCAGGGCUGAGUUCUCCCUUGCUUUGAAGGCGAGAUCACGGGCUGCACGUAGAGAUGAGUGAAGAUGUUUGCUGCUAAUCCUGUUGGCUGGGAUGUGUUGGCAUCACCCCAGCUAUUUCGUGGUCAUGAAGUACUGUCCUGCACCAGAUCCUGAUGCACUUACUGACUGUGAACAUGACUGCAGACCCAGGACAGCCAAGUGCUAGCCCAUACAACUGAGGUUGUCAUGAUCUGGCCCCAUCAUCUCUUUCAGAGAGUGGCAAUCUCUCCUCUGAUCCAUGUGGACAUUUUGUGAAGUGAAGUCCUUAAUUUCAAGCCUUGCAGCUUGCACAUGUGUGCCUGCCAGCCACCAGGGACUAGUAGGAUUCCAGUGAGAACUGGCACUUUUGAUUUUCCUUGCCUUGCACUGGGAGAUAUAUGAGAGUUUGUUUAUGUGAGAUUUGGGAGAACAAAGGCAAAUUAAAUCCCACCCUUCCAAUAAGAUAUAUAUUUUUUCAACCUUGAAGUAAAUUUUCUAUGUCUGUGUGUUUUGGCUUUUAAACUCAAUAGCCUGCAGGCAUUCACCACGUCAGCAAAGAAAUGGAAAGCUCAUUAUUACACUAUUAGAAGGUUUAAGACUGAAAACCAGAGUCUAUAACAACAGCGAAUAGGAUAUCAAAGACAUGUCCCUCUGCUUGAUCCUUCCACUGAACUGGAGCUGGACCGAUGCUGUGAAGGGUGUUUUGUUGUGCCUGCACACUCCCCAACCAUUUCAGAAUGUUGAGGUGUAAUGGCUUCUUUUAUUAUUUAAAUAAUAUUAUUUCAUAUUCUUAUUUGGCCAGAUCAGAAGAAUCAAAUCAGAUAAUAGCAUGA